rnacentral:rRNA from 1 species
GCGGUAAAACCAGCACCUCAAGUGGUCAGCAUGAUUAUUGGGCCUAAAGCGUCCGUAGCCUGUUCUGUAAGUUUUCGGGUAAAUCCAUCAGCUCAACUUAUGGGCUUCCGAAAAUACUGCAGGACUAGGGAGUGGGAGAGGUAUGCGGUACUCGGUAGGAAGGGGUAAAAUCCUGUCAUCUAUUGAUGACCACCUGUGGCGAAGGCGGCCUACCAGAACGCGUUCGACGGUCAGGGAUGAAACCUGGGGGAGCAAACCGGAUUAGAUACCCGGGUAGUCCCUAGCUGUAAACGAUGCGAACUCGAUGAUGCGUUGGCUUGUUGCUAGCGCAGUGUCGCAGGGAAGCCGUUAAGUCCGCCGCCUGGGAAGUACGUUCGCAAGUAUGAAACUUAAAGGAAUUGGCGGGGGAGCACCACAAGGGGGGAAGCCUGCGGUUCAAUUGGAGCACGGCCCGGA